GUUUCUAUCUAGGUAUCCAGAACUGAUAGGUUCAGGGUCUGUCCGUUACCUUAAAGUGUUCUGUGGGAACCAAUCUGUUGUAUGUAUAUGAUUGAGUCUACGCCACGUUACAGUAUCCUAUUUACCUGAUCAUUUUAUUUACCCUGUUUGUUAUUUCAAUAAACCUUGUUCUUUUGUUUAGUAAAAUCCAUUCCUGGUCUGUGUGACUUCUUAUAGGGAAUGGUUGGUGGCAGCAUAAUUAUAGGGUGGUAUACUCCAGUAGGUCUGGGGUUGUCACAGACAGCUUAUCUUAUUUCACCAUAGUUCCCUCUUGAUUCUGUACACGGUGCUGAUUAUUGCUGAAAAUUCCACAGAGAGGAAAGUUUAGAAGAAGAUUUAAAGUGGUUCUUGGCUUGUGAGAAGAUUUAUCUCUCCUAAACCAGGGAAAUUAACUUCUACACCAAUUGCUUUCUUCUGCAGUGUGAGUGUGAGGAAAUUACACACAGCUGCUAUGAAAAAACCAAGCAUGAGAAAAUGAUGGACAAUAUAAAAUCAAAACUCCAUUUGAACUGACAGCUUUGCCUUGGGUGAAGAAUUAUAUCCUGCAUUCUUUUCAUCAUAACAAUGACCAUCUAAUUCCCUAACUUACCACAGAAGAGAGAAAUUAGUAUCAGGACAGAAAUUAUUUUCCAUCAAGAACAAACAAGCCAUAAUGGCUGCUUAUUGAAAAAGGAUUGUUCUCUAGACAGUACCUUCCUUCUCUGCAGAUUCCUGCCCCUUAAAGAGAAAGCAAAGGCGAAAGGGAAAGUGCAGCAGGAGCCCCCCCCCCAACAAUCAAAAUGAAGGGAUUCGUGAGGAAGCAAGUCCCUAUCCUGGAUCCUAAAAACAAUUUAUUCAGGGAAGUUCACAAGAGGACUGUUGGAGCUGGCAGGUGACAACAUAUUCAUCGGUAUUAUCUUCUACUGGUCAUAAAUAAAAAUUAUUUAUCAAUGUCA
rnacentral:lncRNA from 1 species